rnacentral:rRNA from 1 species
AGAGUUUGAUCCUGGCUCAGAAUCAACGCUGGCGGCGCGCUUAACACAUGCAAGUCGCACGAGAAAGGGAGCAAUCCUAAGUAAAGUGGCGCACGGGUGAGUAACACGUGGAUCAUCUACCUUUUAGUGGGGAAUACCUCUGGGAAACCGGAGACAAUACCGCAUAAGCCCGCAAGGGGAAAGCAGCAAUGCGCUGAAAGAGGAGUCCGCGGCCGAUUAGCUAGUUGGUGAGGUAAUGGCUCACCAAGGCGAAGAUCGGUAGCCGGCCUGAGAGGGCACACGGCCACACUGGCACUGAAACACGGGCCAGACUCCUACGGGAGGCAGCAGUGGGGAAUCUUGCACAAUGGAGGAAACUCUGAUGCAGCGACGCCGCGUGAGCGAUGAAGCCCCUCGGGGUGUAAAGCUCUUUCGACGGGAACGAUAAUGACGGUACCCGAAGAAGAAGCUGCGGCUAACUACGUGCCAGCAGCCGCGGUAAUACGUAGGCAGCAAGCGUUGUUCGGAAUUACUGGGCGUAAAGAGUGUGUAGGCGGUGCUCUAAGUCUGUUGUGAAAUCUCCCGGCUUAACUGGGAGGGUGCGGCGGAAACUGGAGUGCUCGAGGAUGGGAGAGGUAAGCGGAAUUCCUGGUGUAGCGGUGAAAUGCGUAGAUAUCAGGAGGAACACCUGGUGUAGACAGCUUACUGGACCAUUUCUGACGCUGAGACACGAAAGCGUGGGUAGCAAACAGGAUUAGAUACCCUAGUAGUCC